rnacentral:misc_RNA from 1 species
GGAUAAAUGAAAGCUCUUCAUCCUGCAAAUAUUUCAAAACCCUCAACAACAUAUAAUUGACAACAGGGCAAUUAAAGAUAACCAUGCAAAGCAACCCAUGAAGAAUGCUACCAACACAACAAUCACCUAGGCCAAUUUUUUAACAUGUACAUUAUCCUAUCCUUACACAUUUCCGAAAUCGUUUAGAGUAGAGAAAGAGGAUCCAUAUAGCUGACCCCAAAUUU